rnacentral:rRNA from 1 species
AAUGAACGCUGGCGGCGUGCCUAACACAUGCAAGUCGUACGAGAAAGGGGCUUCGGCCCUGAGUAGAGUGGCGCACGGGUGAGUAACGCGUGGGUAAUCUGCCCUUGGAUUUGGGAUAACUCUGCGAAAGUGGAGCUAAUACCGGCUAGUCUGGCUUUAAUUGAUAAGUCGGUAAAGGAUGCCUCUGCAUAUGCAUUCGUCCAAGGAUGAGCCCGCGUCUCAUUAGCUAGUUGGUAGGGUAAUGGUCUACCAAGGCAACGAUGAGUAGCUGGUCUGAGAGGAUGAUCAGCCACACUGGAACUGAAACACGGUCCAGACUCCUACGGGAGGCAGCAGUGGGGAAUAUUGCGCAAUGGGCGAAAGCCUGACGCAGCAACGCCGUGUGAGGGAUGAAGGCUUUCGGGUCGUAAACCUCUGUCGGAAGGGAAGAACGGGCAUUGGUCUAAUAGGCCUUUGUUUUGACGGUACCUUUAGAGGAAGCACCGGCUAACUCCGUGCCAGCCGCCGCAGUAAUAC